rnacentral:tmRNA from 1 species
GGGGCUGACCUUGGUUUUGACAGCAAGCAGAAUGGAUUGGUAAGCAUGCCGAGCAUUGGGAAUCUGGCUCGUUAAUCUCAGGUCUCAACACAAAUAAACGGCGAUAACUACUAUUUCGCACUCGCUGCCUAGAAUGUGCCAAGCACUUCGGGCUUAAUCUUGUCAACCAGGUUGAUGAGACGAGUAGUCUCGCGGAGGGUUUCUCCCACUGGCUUUCCGAAUCGAGGCUCCAGAACAAAUGGGAUAGUCAACGGUUCUCCCCGUUCCGCUGGCAAAAUUUAAGGGGAUAAGGCUUGGGUUGGCCGCCACUCGCCUGCCUUUGCUCGAAAACCAAGAGGGGCUAAGCAUGUAGAAAGCCGGUUGGUUCCUUGUUUGGACGAGGGUUCGACUCCCUCCAGCUCCAC